UUUAAUGUUAAUUGUACAAUACUGACUCGGUUUUACAAAAUCUUUCAUUGACAAUAGUUUCACUUUUUUUAUUGUUUGUUGGUUUGGCAAUGCCACUGUCAGCCUGAGAAAUAUGCUGAGAAGGAUUAUCACCACAGCAAGCAAGGUACUGAGAGUCAAACAGACAGGCCUGGAUGAGAUUUUUAAAGUCAGGGCCCUCCCCAAUGUACUAGGAGUCAAACAGACAGGCCUGGAUGAGAUCUUUAAGGUCAGGACCCUCCCCAAGGUACUUGGAGUCAAACAGACAGGCCUGGAUGAGAUCUUUAAGGUCAGGGCCCUCUGUAAAGGCUCACAAAAUCAUUUUAGACCCAAGCCACCCCCUGUACCUGGACUUUGAACUACUCCCCUCUGGGCGCAGGUAUAAGGCAACCCUCAGCAGGAAAAACAGAACUAGACAAUCAUUUGUGCCAGGUGUGAUAUCACUCCUAAAUAACUCAGGCUAAUGUUCCUAUCCACUCAGUAAGGCCAGCAGGCUACUGUUCCUAUCCACCCAGUAAGACCAGCAGGCUAAAGUUCCUAUCCACCCAGUAAGGCCAACAGGCUCAUGUUCCUAUCCACCCAGUAAGACCAGCAGGCUCGUGUUCCUAUCCACCCAGUAAGGCCAGCAGGCUCAUGUUCCUAUCCACCCAAUAAGACCAGCAGGCUAAUGUUCCUAUCCACCCAAUAAGACCAGCAGGCUCGUGUUCCUAUCCACCCAGUAAGACAUAAAGUCAGUACAGUAAAGACAGCAGGAGAGUGGGAAAACAAGAGAAGGAGAGAAUGAACGUGAAAGAGGAGAGGAGAGAA
ensembl:lncRNA